rnacentral:ncRNA from 2 species
UAAUGUUCUCAGGGCGGGGUGAAAGUCCCCACCGGCGGUAGGGGUUUCGGCCCAAGCCCGCGAGCGCCUUCCAGCCUAUCGGAAGGGUCAGCAGAUCCGGUGCGAUUCCGGAGCCGACGGUUACAGUCCGGAUGGAAGAGAACGAUC